AACUGAACAAUGUGGGAUAGGUGUGGAAAAAACCAGCACAGAUGACAUGAGAUCCACAUAAAAACCUCUUCCUCUUCAUCAUUUAAGCCUCUGACAUACCUUAAGGCAGGAAUCCCAAAUGCACUACAUGUGCUCACUACAUAAGGGUCGUGGGAAGCCUGGAGCCUUCCCAGGGGAUUCGGGGCACAAGACAGGGGACACGCUGGACACCCAUCGCAGGACACAUUCACACACACAUUCACAUACUACGGACCAUUUAGAGAUGCAAAUCUGCCUACAGUGUAUAUCUUUGGACUGGGGGAGGAAACUGGAGUACCCGGAGGAAACCUUUGAAGCACAGGGAGAGCAUGCUCUGUGCACACAGGGUGGAGGAGGAAUUCGAACCCCCCAUCCUGGAGGUGCGAAGCAAAUGUGCUAACCACUAAACCACCAAAUAAUAACUCAACAAUUCUAAUGAAACUCUUAUCAGUCUUUAAGCUAAAUAACCAAACUGUAACACUAUUUAUGUGUUCAGAUAUUGCCAUUAUCAAGAACAAAAAGAAGCAACAGCAACA
ensembl:lncRNA